rnacentral:rRNA from 1 species
UACGUAGGGUGCGAGCGUUAAUCGGAAUUACUGGGCGUAAAGCGUGCGCAGGCGGUGAUGUAAGACAGUUGUGAAAUCCCCGGGCUUAACCUGGGACCUGCAUUUGUGACUGCAUUGCUGGAGUGCGGCAGAGGGGGAUGGAAUUCCGCGUGUAGCAGUGAAAUGCGUAGAUAUGCGGAGGAACACCGAUGGCGAAGGCAAUCCCCUGGGCCUGCACUGACGCUCAUGCACGAAAGCGUGGGGAGCAAACAGG